rnacentral:rRNA from 1 species
UACGGGGGGAGCAAGCGUUGUUCGGAUUUACUGGGCGUAAAGGGCGCGUAGGCGGUCAGCACAAGUCAGUUGUGAAAUCUCCGGGCUUAACCCGGAAAGGUCAACUGAUACUGUGCGACUAGAGUGCGGAAGGGGCAACUGGAAUUCUUGGUGUAGCGGUGAAAUGCGUAGAUAUCAAGAGGAACACCUGCGGCGAAGGCGGGUUGCUGGGCCGACACUGACGCUGAGGCGCGAAAGCCAGGGGAGCAAACGGG